UACGUAGGGUGCAAGCGUUGUCCGGAAUUAUUGGGCGUAAAGCGCUCGCAGGUGGUUCGAUGCGUCGUGCGUGAAAGACCCCGGCUCAACUGGGGAGUGUCGUGCGAUACGGUCGGACUGGAGGCCAGUAGGGGGAUGCGGAAUUCCGGGUGUAGUGGUGGAAUGCGUAGAGAUCCGGAGGAACACCAGCGGCGAAGGCGGCAUCCUGGACUGGUCCUGACACUCAUGAGCGAAAGCGUGGGGAGCGAUCCGG
rnacentral:rRNA from 1 species